GGGGUCCUUCUGAACGGUACCCGAGUCCCACUGUUCUCUCCCCUAAAUUAGCUCUAAAAGGGCCUCUUGGGAACAAGCCUGUGGCUUACUCCCUAGACACUAUCUCGAGGCAUUAAAGAACCCGGUAUAUAUUUUAAAGUAAAACUCCCCGCUGAGCUUGUUGGCACCACGGCAACCUGGUGGAAGGUGUCCCUGCCCGUGGCAGGAGAUGGGACAAGAUGAUCUUUAAGGUCCUUCUAACCCAAACCGUUCCGUGAUUCUAAUAAAUUCCAACAUACAGGUUAUAGGGAGCUACUAUCAAGUUGCAACAUGAUGGAUCCAUUAUCAUGAAUAGACAGUGUCUCAGAUGAGGAGGACAGAAAAAGUUUGCGGCAGAGAAGGACAGAAGGAAAAGGAAUUCAAGAUUUUUCAAAACAGGUGCCGAGAAGCAGACUUUCUUUCCUUGCUGCAGACAGCAGAUCAAACUCUGGAAAAGAAAAACUGGCCUUCUUUUAGCCUGUUUGAACACCGAGGCAUUGGCUGAGUUUGGCAGUAGUUCCUCAUCUCUGCUGUAUCCCAACUAUCCCUCCAGUGCUGUCGUGGGAAAAGUGUUUCUGCAAAUGCUCAUUUCUGGUAUGUCUCUUCACUAAUUCCUACACAUUCCACAGAAGGAGUAUGCAAUUUAUUCCUCAGAUGCACAAGUUACCUAAUUUCAACUGCUGCUUUCUGCUUUUGGUUAUAUGGUCACUACCCUAUAAGCCCAAACUCGCCGAAUUUUGGAGUUUCUCCACUGACUUUAGCAGGAUUUCAUUCACCUGACAGGUGCUCUAAGGAACUGAAAGGCAGCAAAUCUGAAAUAUCAGCUGGAGAGGGGCAUUUCUGUUCCCUUUUUUGUGGAAACACAUGACCAAGACCAAGAGAAAAUUCCUCUUGGCUACAGGCUUUUGUUUUUCCUCAACAGCCACCUGCAUUUGGUUCUGACCUGUGAUGCAACAUUAGGGGAAACACCACUAAAGAGAAGGCAACUCUAAUGGACAGAUACACAGAUUUUCAUCUUAAUUGCAUGUUUUUAGGGCUUCAAAGAGUGUUUCAGAAUCAUCAGUGUAUUAUAACAUUUUUUCUGAAAUGCAAUUAAUAUUUAUUGUAUGGAUUCUUUGGCCUUCCAAAGUAACAGUAUUGGUGUCAUUAAACAGAUGUAAUGAUUUUCUGACUCGGAGCUUGAAAUAAAUUCUGACUUUCCAUUCAGGCAAAACACACAGAUGCAAAGUUAGGGACAGUUGUGAAUGACAUCUAACCAACAAAUGGAGCUCAAACAGGAGGAAACACUGGAGAAGGAAAUUAAAGAAGGAGAAGGACUAUUAAAGAACAGCUCCAACGAUCUGGAUGUGCCACAGAAACAUCCCUGUCCCAACCACUGUGUAUCUCACUGGAAGAAACUGUGCUGUGGUCUCUGUGGUAGGCACUGUGCUUCCAUGGCAUUUUAAAGGAACAGAAUUUUCUGGAUCUUCCCCUUCUUAGUUAAUACCCAGGCACACCCUCACACAAACCAUAUGUUAAUAACUUCAGAGCACAAAUUUAAUUUAUCUCAGCUUUCCACCUGACAUCACUCCUGGUCACGUGGCGCAGACCCAUCCGUAAACAAAACGGGGAUUCAUUUCCAUAGCAACAGCGAGGGGGACUUUGAUCAGCUCCAAUGAUUAUUUGUAGGCACACAGACACCAAAACCCUAAGUGAGGCCUGAUUACCCUGGUUUUUGAGAUGCAGGCAGUUCAGUUGGUUUAUAUGGACAAGCAGGAACACGAGGUAGAGACGCUCAAAGCUCCCUGUGAAAGGCAAACGAAGCCACUGGUCAUUAGCCCGGUGUCCCUUCCAGUUCCUUGGGAAUCUGUACCUUCCUAAUGCCUCCAGUGUGAUGUGUGUGUCCUGUGACCAAUAAAGUGUGUUCUUUGUGCUCCCUG